GCUGGGCGCGGUGGCUCACGCCUGUAAUCCCUAGCACUUUGGGAGGCCGAGGCAGGUGGAUCACCUGAGGUCAGGAGUUCAAGACCAGCCUGGCCAACAUGGUGAAACCCUGUCUCUA
rfam:Gorilla gorilla gorilla genomic chromosome, chr4, whole genome shotgun sequence